UACGUAGGGUGCAAGCGUUGUCCGGAAUUAUUGGGCGUAAAGAGCUCGUAGGCGGUUUGUUGCGUCGGCUGUGAAAUUCCGAGGCUCAACCUCGGGUCUGCAGUCGAUACGAGCAAACUAGAGUGUUGCAGGGGAGACUGGAAUUCCUUGUGUAGCGGUGAAAUGCGCAGAUAUCAGGAGGAACACCGGUGGCGAAGGCGGGUCUCUGGGCAACAACUGACGCUGAGGAGCGAAAGCGUGGGGAGCGAACAGG
rnacentral:rRNA from 1 species